rnacentral:rRNA from 1 species
UACGUAGGGUGCAAGCGUUGUCCGGAAUCAUUGGGCGUAAAGCGCGCGUAGGUGGCUUCGUAAGUCCGUUGUGAAAGUCAAAGGCUCAACCUUUGAAUGCCGAUGGAUACUGCGGAGCUAGAGUACGGAAGAGGCGAGUGGAAUUCCUGGUGUAGCGGUGGAAUGCGCAGAUAUCAGGAGGAACACCAAUAGCGAAGGCAGCUCGCUGGGACGUCACUGACGCUGAGACGCGAAAGCGUGGGGAGCAAACAGG